AACGUAGGACGCAAGCGUUAUCCGGAUUUACUGGGCGUAAAGCGCGGGCAGGCGGUCUUGCCAGUCUGAUGUGAAAUCUCCCCGCUCAACGGGGAGCAGCCAUUGGAAACUACAAGACUGGAGUCUGACAGAGGUAGGCGGAAUUCCGGGUGGAGUGGUGAAAUGCGUAGAGAUCCGGAGGAACACCAGAGGCGAAGGCGGCCUACUGGGUCAGUACUGACGCUGAGGUGCGAAAGCGUGGGGAGCAAACAGG
rnacentral:rRNA from 1 species